GUCCAUGCCGUAAACGAUGAUUACUAGGUGUUGGGGGAUUGACCCCCUCAGUGCCGCAGUUAACACAAUAAGUAAUCCACCUGGGGAGUACGACCGCAAGGUUGAAACUCAAAGGAAUUGACGGGGGCCCGCACAAGCAGUGGAGUAUGUGGUUUAAUUCGAAGCAACGCGAAGAACCUUACCAGGUCUUGACAUCCUAUGCAUAGCACAGAGAUGUGUGAAAUCCUUCGGGACAUCGAGACAGGUGGUGCAUGGUUGUCGU
rnacentral:rRNA from 1 species